UAAUUGUUCCCACGUAGUCUAAGAAAAUGUAAAUUGAUUGUUCUGUGUGUAGAACCCUAACAGUCUGCACAUAAAACUGUAUAAAAGAAUUAAUGUUCGUAUAGGCUCUGUAAACGAACUUAGAUAAGUAGUACAUUAACGUUGGCGGCGCUACACAUUGUCUUUGUUAAGCGCGCCAGUAGCAGUAUGAAGUUCGAAGAGAAGGUAUCCUUCUUCGCUGCUGCUCACAGUUAUGUUGGUAGAAAGUUGCGUACUUGUCAACUUAUAGGAGCGAGAAUAUGAGAUCAUUGAUUGAAUUGAAGGGUUGUUGAUCACGAGUUUGUUGCGCCAUAAUUCAUGUGGAUUUGGCCACCAUCCUUUUUCUUUACUGUGAUUGAUUGCGAGUUGCUAAUAAAAUAUUGCAACGGAUCCCCAAAUUUGUAUGUCUCUGCUGCAAUUUAUAUUGUGUCAGCCAGGACCACUACAUUUGGUGUCAGAAGUGGGAUACGCAAUAGAACAUUAAAAGGACCGUGUGUCAAUAAGCAACACCGCCACCAUGUCGAAAAAAGGGAAGAAAAAACAGCAACUACCACCGAUGUUGAAUGAAAACGGCGAUGAUGAUGAGAUGUUCGUACCAACAACCCCCACCACGCAGACCGCAAACGACAAAGUAACAAUAAUCAUGCCAUCGGAGGUUGUAAAGAAGUUUAGUGAUGAGAUUACCCAAGUGACAGACAAUAUUGAUGAGGAAGACAUUCCGUCAACAAGUGGUGUCCGAAAGAGUCGACGGUUGCAGAAGUUGGAGGCGUUGUGUGAGGAAUAGAGUUUUGUUUUAAAAAAAAUUGAGAAAAAUAUA